UACGGAGGGGGCUAGCGUUGUUCGGAUUUACUGGGCGUAAAGGGCGCGUAGGCGGCCACCGCAAGUCGGUUGUGAAAUCUCUGGGCUUAACCCAGAAAGGUCAACCGAUACUGCGGGGCUAGAGUGCAGAAGGGGCAACUGGAAUUCUCGGUGUAGCGGUGAAAUGCGUAGAUAUCGAGAGGAACACCUGCGGCGAAGGCGGGUUGCUGGGCUGACACUGACGCUGAAGCGCGAAAGCUAGGGGAGCGAACGGG
rnacentral:rRNA from 1 species